rnacentral:misc_RNA from 1 species
AAGUCGUAACAAGGUUUCCGUAGGUGAACCUGCGGAAGGAUCAUUAAUGAGUUAGGGUCUUCCAGGCCCGAUCUCCAACCCUUUGUAAAACUACCAUGUUGCUUUGGCGGGCCCGUCUUUAACCGGACCGCUGGGGGUUUAUAACCCUUGGCCAGUGCUCGUCAAUAGCCCUUAACAAAACUCUUUUAACCAUGUUAAAUCUGAAAAUAUUUAAAUAAACUAAAACUUUCAACAACGGAUCUCUUGGUUCUG